CGAGUAAUAGUAUUAAUAAGUAUGUUGGGUUUGGGGCCUAAAGGUUGUGGUUGACGCAUUGCUCGU
rnacentral:tRNA from 1 species